GUUUGAUCCUGGCUCAGGACGAACGCUGGCGGCGUGCCUAAUACAUGCAAGUCGAGCGAGCCGAACCAAUUGAUUACCUUCGGGUAUGAAGUUAGGGAAGCGAGCGGCGGAUGGGUGAGUAACACGUGGGUAACCUACCCUAUAGUCUGGGAUACCACUUGGAAACAGGUGCUAAUACCGGAUAAAAGGAGAGAUCACAUGAUUUCUUUUUGAAAGGCGGCGUAAGCUGUCGCUAAAGGAUGGACCCGCGGUGCAUUAGCUAGUUGGUAAGGUAACGGCUUACCAAGGCAACGAUGCGUAGCCGAGUUGAGAGACUGAUCGGCCACAUUGGGACUGAGACACGGCCUAAACUCCUACGGGAGGCAGCAGUAGGGAAUCUUCCACAAUGGACGCAAGUCUGAUGGAGCAACGCCGCGUGAGUGAAGAAGGUUUUCGGAUCGUAAAGCUCUGUUGUUGGUGAAGAAAGAUAGUGAGAGUAACUGCUCAUUAUUUGCCGGUAAUCAACCAGAAAGUCACGGCUAACUACGUGCCAGCAGCCGCGGUAAUACGUAGGUGGCAAGCGUUGUCCGGAUUUAUUGGGCGUAAAGCGAGCGCAGGCGGAAAGAUAAGUCAGAUGUGAAAGCCCUCGGCUUAACCGAGGAAUAGCAUCGGAAACUGUCUUUCUUGAGUGCAGAAGAGGAGAGUGGAACUCCAUGUGUAGCGGUGGAAUGCGUAGAUAUAUGGAAGAACACCAGUGGCGAAGGCGGCUCUCUGGUCUGUAACUGACGCUGAGGCUCGAAAGCAUGGGUAGCGAACAGGAUUAGAUACCCUGGUAGUCCAUGCUGUAAACGAUGAGUGCUAAGUGUUGGGAGGUUUCCGCCUCUCAGUGCUGCAGCUAACGCAUUAAGCACUCCGCCUGGGGAGUACGACCGCAAGGUUAAAACUCAAAGGAAUUGACGGGGGCCCGCACAAGCGGUGGAGCAUGUGGUUUAAUUCGAAGCACGC
rnacentral:rRNA from 1 species